CAGCAGCCACGGGAAUACGUAGGGUGCGAGCGUUAAUCGGAAUUACUGGGCGCAAAGCGUGCGCAGGCGGCUGUGUAAGACAGGUGUGAAAUCCCCGGGCUUAACCUGGGAACUGCAUUUGUGACUGGCGGGCUAGAGUAUGGCAGAGGGGGGUAGAAUUCCACGUGUAGCAGUGAAGUGCGUAGAGAUGUGGAGGAAUACCGAUGGCGAAGGCAGCCCCCUGGGCCAAUACUGACGCUCAUGCACGAAAGCGUGGGUAGCAAACAGGAUUAGAUACCCCUGUAGUCCCUGUCUCUUAUAC
rnacentral:rRNA from 1 species